GCAAGUCGAACGAGAGACCUUCGGGUCUCUAGUGGCGAACGGGUGAGUAACACGUAGGGAACCUGCCCGCGCACCGGGAAUACGCUCUGGAAACGGAGAACAAAUCCCGAUGUACAGGAAGGAGGCAUCUUCUUUCUGUGAAACAUCCUUUAGGGGAUGGGGCGCGGAUGGACCUGCGGUGCAUUAGUUGGUUGGCGGGGUAAAGGCCCACCAAGACGAUGAUGCAUAGCCGGCCUGAGAGGGCGGACGGCCACAUUGGGACUGAGACACGGCCCAGACUCCUGCGGGAGGCAGCAGUAGGGAAUUUUCGUCAAUGGGCGCAAGCCUGAACGAGCGAUGCCGCGUGAGUGAAGAAGGCCUUCGGGUCGUAAAGCUCUGUUGCGGGGGAAAAAAGGCAGCAUCAGGAAAUGGGUGCUGACUGAUGGUGCCCCGCCAGAAAGUCACGGCUAACUACGUGCCAGCAGCCGCGGUAAUACGUAGGUGGCGAGCGUUAUCCGGAAUGAUUGGGCGUAAAGGGUGCGCAGGCGGUCCUGCAAGUCUGGAGUGAAACGCAUGAGCUCAACUCAUGCAUGGCUUUGGAAACUGGAGGACUGGAGAGCAGGAGAGGGCGGUGGAACUCCAUGUGUAGCGGUAAAAUGCGUAGAUAUAUGGAAGAACACCAGUGGCGAAGGCGGCCGCCUGGCCUGUUGCUGACGCUGAGGCACGAAAGCGUGGGGAGCAAAUAGGAUUAGAUACCCUAGUAGUCCACG
rnacentral:rRNA from 1 species